UCUCACGGUUGAGCAAAGAAAGUAGUUUCUUGAGAUGGACUUUACUCCUGGUGAAGAUGCUGCGAA
rnacentral:pre_miRNA from 1 species